rnacentral:rRNA from 1 species
UGGGGAAUAUUGCACAAUGGGCGCAAGCCUGAUGCAGCCAUGCCGCGUGUAUGAAGAAGGCCUUCGGGUUGUAAAGUACUUUCAGUCGGGAGGAAGGUGGUAAGGUUAAUAACUUUAUCAAUUGCCGUUACCGAAAGAAGAAGCACCGGCUAAUUCGGUGCCGGCAGCCGCGGUAAUACGGAGGGUGCAGGCGUUAAUCGGAAUUACUGGGCGUAAAGCGCACGCAGGCGGUUGAUUGAGUCAGAUGUGAAAUCCCCGGGCUUAACCCGGGAAUUGCAUCUGAUACUGGUCAGCUAGAGUCUUGUAGAGGGGGGUAGAAUUCCAUGUGUAGCGGUGAAAUGCGUAGAGAUGUGGAGGAAUACCGGUGGCGAAGGCGGCCCCCUGGACAAAGACUGACGCUCAGGUGCGAAAGCGUGGGGAGCAAACAGG